rnacentral:rRNA from 1 species
GACGGAGGGUGCAAACGUUGUUCGGAAUCACUGGGCGUAAAGGGCGCGUAGGCGGACUUGUAAGUCGGGAGUGAAAACUCGGGGCUCAACCCCGAGCCUGCUUCCGAAACUGCGAGUCUUGAGGACCGGAGAGGAAAGUGGAAUUCCCGGUGUAGCAGUGAAAUGCGUAGAGAUCGGGAGGAACAUCUGUGGCGAAGGCGACUGCCUGGACCAGCACUGACACUGAGGCACGAAAGCGUGGGGAGCAAACAGG